UAUGCAAAAAAAUUGCAAAAAAUUUUAUUUGAGUUCAGUUCAGCGCACUUUAAGAGCUAUUUAGGUGUGCAAUAAGAUAAUUCGUCAAUUGAACUAAAUGAACUGAAUGAACUAAAAAACUAGUUCACUAAGGUGAGCGAACUACAACUGAAUGGUUUACUCUAAAGAACUAAAGUGCCCAGCUCCAAUCCGAAUGCCAGCAGGGAUACGAGCACAUACGAACCCUGCAGAUAAUAAAACAUUUAUAAAAAAGUUACGUUAAUAUUUAGCCGUAAAUUAAAUACACUUUUUAAUAUUUGAAAAUUUUGUUACUUUUACCAACGCAUCAAAUCAACAACACUAUAAACUCCGGAGGUUGUAAUAAUGGCAACGCAUUGUGGAUUAUUAAGGAAUGCUGCAACUAUCUAACUAAGUACGUACCGCAAAAGCCACCGCUCAUCACCGCCGGCUCGUCAUCAUGGGCCUCGUCAUUGCUUUACGGGCGUCUAUGCGAGAGAGUGCGGCAUAUAAUAAAACAUCUGCAAAUUUUCACUGCAUAAAAGCGAAAGAUGCAAAAUUACAGCACGCAAAGAAAAGAAAAUUAAAAUUAAAAUGCAGAGAUGCGCAAAAAAGACACCGACCAUCAAGCAAGCGCUAAGCAAAGAUGGAAGUGCUGAAGAAACAAUCUUUGCCAAGCACCAUUUUCAUUCGAUGCAAACUGCGUUUCGACCGGCCUCUAACUACCAGCAGCGUGGCGUGGCCUCCCAACUCCACCACUCGGCGGAUCAUUAGCGGUAAUAUGCGGAUAUGAAUUGCGCAUGUGCGGCGCAUUUAUUAUGUUUGCAUUUCACUAACUCGCCUCACAAUUGACUGCACAGUAACACAGCUACAGGGGUAUGCGCAACAAAAACAACAUCACACUGAGAGUACAUCGAUAGCUAGCUAGCGGUAGCUGCCGUCGCAAUCCUUCUUCCGCCUUGGCGUUGUUGGUUGCUUCAAUUGUAAUGGGUGUUAACAUAGUACAUAAAUAUGAAUGCAUUCACCCAGCAGAAUAUUUGACUAACUCAGAACUAGCGUAGAACUAGAGCUUUUGCCGACAGUACUAGCUCUCGCGCAAUACCCAAGCAAUGCUUUCAACUGUCCAGUUUUACACGGCGAUGUCAUUGGCGGUGGAAAUUGUCGCCCAUUGGAUUACUUUGCAGCUAGUUUUUAACCGGUACCGUUUUGGACAGUUUUUUUUAUAAGAAAACGUUUUCAGUU